UCGAAGUCUUCUCAUUUCUUUAAGCUGUCUUCAGGAAUAGUUCUCCUUUCAAAGCUCUUGUCUUGAUGUAUGCUGAGUCAACCAGGUAAGGAAAUCCCAAAAAGUUCAUUUUGUUCAUCUGGACAUAGCAUUUCAUCACCCAUCCAAGUGAUAAAUCAACUUUUUGGAUCUUUUGUUCUAUUUUCUGUCAAGAUGAUCUCACACUGCUUCAGUAAUUUUGAAGUCUGUGCUCUGGGGACGCCUAUCCAUGGCUGGCGGUGUUCCAUUGUGUGUUUUUCUGUCCAGAUGGCUGUAGACGCUCGUUGUGGCACCGGUCUCCUGCUCCUCCUCCAAACAUAGUGACAAUGAUUUGAACAGAAAAUUUCACAUUUGAAUUGAUCUCUCGACAGCAUCUUGACAGCCACUGGAGAUGGGUCAGUUGAAGGGCCAGAUACAUCUUUCAGGUCCUGUUUCAGGUUUUUGCUGGAUUUUUUUUCUUUUUCUGAAAGUCAUGGCUUUCACAAAGUAACUAUCUACUGUAGUUACUUUUUUUUAGACCUGACUUCUUGGUUUGUUUUUUUUUUACUUUACU